rnacentral:sRNA from 1 species
GUCGCUUUUGAUCAGAACCUGUCUCCUAUAUGCAUAUCUAUCAGAAUUAAAUAGGUGGUCAAAAACUGUCGACAAACUAAUGUAUGGGCCUGGUCGUAAAGUGCAGUCUAAAUUUCCAUUGUAGGGACCGUACAACUCUCGUCCUUGCCAGUACGUGUGCGUGAUCCAGGCAAUGUCAAGUACGCCCACCGCUUACUAUUGCUAAUAUUCACCCUUAACAUCCGCUAGCCCAGUCCGUAACAAUGCAAGAUAACUGCCACCAUUAACAGUCUACGAUUUCAGUCUGUAAGCAGAAUUAAAUUGAGUGCAUUCAACAACAACACAACAGAAAACGAAACGAAACGAAACCAAAAGUAAAUGCGAAAUACUACAAAAAUCUGUUACAAGUUCGAAUAAACCCGCAGCAAAGAUACUCCGAAAAUGAGGCGCACUCUUUGGCACAUGCUCACGGCCCAGCUCCUGCUCCUGGUACUCUGUUCGCUGCUCUCUCUCUGCUCCGGCGGCAAUAUGCAUCCUUUGAAAGUGGGCAAAAACUAUGCGUCGCUGCACAACCAGCCCAAGGACUUUCGCUCUUUAGUGAUGGAUAUUAGCAAGUUUGUUCUCACUAUUAAAGGUAUGUCCCUGUGUGCAGCCGCUCCUAUGAUAAAAGAAUAAUCCAAUGAUUUUAAUAAUAAUCCAAACAAAUAGCAAAAGCUUUUUCCUCCAUCUAAUCUGUCCAAAGAUCUGACUAGUACCAUAUCUAUUACUAAGCUGGCGUCGAGAUUUGAAUUCCAAUCUGAGUCCUGCCCCCCAUUCAAUUCAGAGUUCCAAAAUUCUCCAUUAAAGACCGACAGAAAGGCCAGCGACCAGCAGAUCAGUGCAGAGACCGACAAUCAUUGCCAAAGCAACGCAAAGCCUGGCCUCGAACUGAAUUUACAAUAAAAAUUCUUAAUUCUUGGUACAAAAAUUUCUGUAUUUAGCUGAUGAAAAUAAUUU